UACGGGGGGGGCAAGCGUUGUUCGGAUUUACUGGGCGUAAAGGGAGUGUAGGCGGUUAGUCAAGUCUGGUGUGAAAGCUCUACCACUUAACGGAGAGAGGUCAUCGGAUACUGGCUGGCUGGAGUAGGGUAGGGGCAAUCGGAAUUCCUGGUGUAGCGGUGGAAUGUGUAGAUAUCAGGAAGAACAUCUGUGGCGAAGGCGGAUUGCUGGGCCCUUACUGACGCUGAGACUCGAAAGCGUGGGGAGCAAACGGG
rnacentral:rRNA from 1 species